rnacentral:sRNA from 1 species
AUUGAUCCUUCCAUUUUUAUGGUUGAACCUCCAAUGAUGAAAAAAAAAAAAAACUGAAUGAAAAGUUUGUAGAAUACUUAAUGGUCACCUUAAUUACCUUGUUAUUUUUUUAAAGACCCUGAGGAGGC